CCUACGGGGGGCAGCAGUGGGGAAUAUUGGACAAUGGGCGAAAGCCUGAUCCAGCCAUGCCGCGUGAGUGAUGAAGGCCCUAGGGUUGUAAAGCUCUUUCAACGGUGAAGAUAAUGACGGUAACCGUAGAAGAAGCCCCGGCUAACUUCGUGCCAGCAGCCGCGGUAAUACGAAGGGGGCUAGCGUUGUUCGGAAUUACUGGGCGUAAAGCGCACGUAGGCGGAUUGUUUAGUUAGGGGUGAAAUCCCAGGGCUCAACCCUGGAACUGCCUCUAAUACUGGCAAUCUAGAGUCCGAGAGAGGUGAGUGGAAUUCCGAGUGUAGAGGUGAAAUUCGUAGAUAUUCGGAGGAACACCAGUGGCGAAGGCGGCUCACUGGCUCGGUACUGACGCUGAGGUGCGAAAGCGUGGGGAGCAAACAGGAUUAGAUACCCUAGUAGU
rnacentral:rRNA from 1 species